GGGGGCGGCAUGAGCAGCUCCAUGCAUCCAGGCCACAUCGCUGUUUCACUUUGUUCUAUUCCCAUCCUCCCAUGGUGCGGAUUACUGGCUUGCAAGCCGCUGAUACGCAUGGAUCGUCGUCUCCGAAGCAGCAGCAGUAUGUAGUGGUCAUCAUCAACGACGACGGCAUCUGAAAGUAAUCAAGUGGCAGAAGAUGAUAGCUGUCCGGUCCUGGAACGGGCGCAGCUCGCAAGCACAAUCAUGAAUCCAUAAUGACAGAGAGAUGGGGGAUCAUCAUGCCAUCAGCGCCGGGGGAGGGGAACGACGAUGCAUCGAAAAGGAUAACAACAGCCUACCAUGCAGCUAGCAUGCGAGCCGGGGAGCACUACACUGUAGCGUGUAAAGCCGAGCUCUGAGCGGUCAAUUUCACGGGGGGGAUCGGUAGUGCAGGGGGGGCGUAGGGGACAACAUGUCAUGCCAUGCCAUGCCACCACCGCAAGAGGGGAGAGAGAGGUGGGCCGGCCGGCGCGCGGCGGCAGUGGGCGCCGCCGAUCGAUCGAUGCGAACAAUUUGCAUUGCCACAUCUGAGCGAGCGCUGCCAGGGCGCGGCCCCCAGUCACUGUGGUGAUUUAUCCCCAACUGGCGGCCGUGGCACCUGCACGCCCGGCAUCUUUCUCCAGUUAGUCACUUUCUCCGGCCUCAGAGUCAGUAGUGGUGGCGGCUCUCAUCGGUGGCUAGCCAUUUUAAGGCGCUAGGGCUGCCAUCCUGCAUGCAUGGCAGGGCCCUCCUUCGUUCCUGCUGUAGCUGCAUCUGCAUGGCAUGGCCCCCAAUCCCAACCCUAUCAGGUCAGGGAGGGCAUCUAUCUAGCUAUAUCCCCAGGGGCCAGCAGGGCCAUGUAUGUAUGCAUAAUUUCUUCCUCUUGUAUCUAUCUAAUUUUUUUUAAUCUAUUUCUCUUUCUCUACAGAAACAUCAGGAGGAAUUGAAGCAAAUAAAUUAAACGCC